UACUGUUGUCCACUUGAUGUGUUCAUUGCUAUGUGCAAUCUGUACUUCAUUGUAUGUUAUGUUGGCUCCAUAAAGUACUAUGUUUCUUAAAUCGUGUCUGUUCUUGCUAUAACAAACUUAAUGUUUAUAAACUACUAGAUAAAAGACUUUUCAGCUGCUGCUUUCAUCUGGCACUCUAAGCAAAGCAUUUAUGCAACUUUGUACAGACCACUAUACGCUAUUGGCAAAGUCAGAGUCUGUCUAAUACAAAUGUUAGAGGCAUGUGGAAUUAAUUUAAAGUUUUCUGAUGAAUUGUAGAACCAGCAGCUAACAAGGUUGUUCUUCAAGUCCUCAAUUUACAUGUGCCGGUAACACGCAAAGACAUGUCCCCUCCAAGCAUGCUGCUACAACUAUAUGAUCACAAGCUUAUUUGGAAUUCAGUUCUAAUGACUUUUUGCAUUUAUACAAUGAAACUGUUUACGUAUGUUGUCUCAGCCUUUAACCAGAGAUCCUUUGUAUAUUAAAUAAAAUGUAAUUAGGUCUAAUAAUAA